GCGGCGUGCCUAAUACAUGCAAGUAGAACGCUGAAGAGAGGAGCUUGCUCUUCUUGGAUGAGUUGCGAACGGGUGAGUAACGCGUAGGUAACCUGCCUUGUAGCGGGGAUAACUAUUGGAAACGAUAGCUAAUACCGCAUAACAAUGGAUGACUCAUGUCAUUUAUUUGAAAGGGGCAAAUGCUCCACUACAAGAUGGACCUGCGUUGUAUUAGCUAGUAGGUGAGGUAACGGCUCACCUAGGCGACGAUACAUAGCCGACCUGGGAGGGUGAUCGGCCACACUGGGACUGAGACACGGCCCAGACUCCUACGGGAGGCAGCAGUAGGGAAUCUUCGGCAAUGGGGGCAACCCUGACCGAGCAACGCCGCGUGAGUGAAGAAGGUUUUCGGAUCGUAAAGCUCUGUUGUAAGUCAAGAACGAGUGUGAGAGUGGAAAGUUCACACUGUGACGGUAGCUUACCAGAAAGGGACGGCUAACUACGUGCCAGCAGCCGCGGUAAUACGUAGGUCCCGAGCGUUGUCCGGAUUUAUUGGGCGUAAAGCGAGCGCAGGCGGUUUGAUAAGUCUGAAGUUAAAGGCUGUGGCUCAACCAUAGUUCGCUUUGGAAACUGUCAAACUUGAGUGCAGAAGGGGAGAGUGGAAUUCCAUGUGUAGCGGUGAAAUGCGUAGAUAUAUGGAGGAACACCGGUGGCGAAAGCGGCUCUCUGGUCUGUAACUGACGCUGAGGCUCGAAAGCGUGGGGAGCGAACAGGAUUAGAUACCCUGGUAGUCCACGCCGUAAACGAUGAGUGCUAGGUGUUGGAUCCUUUCCGGGAUUCAGUGCCGCAGCUAACGCAUUAAGCACUCCGCCUGGGGAGUACGACCGCAAGGUUGAAGCU
rnacentral:rRNA from 1 species